rnacentral:tRNA from 1 species
GCGGGUAUAGUUUAGUGGUAAAACCCUAGCCUUCCAAGCUAACGAUGCGGGUUCGAUUCCCGCUAUCCGCUCUAUUCUGUA